AGGGCUGUAGGUCAGUGUUAGAGCACCUGCUUGGCAUGCAGAAGGUCUCUGGUUCAACCCCCAGAAUUUCCAGGCAGGACUG